ACGACUCUCGACAACGGAUAUCUCGGCUCUCGCAUCGAUGAAGAACGUAGCGAAAUGCGAUACUUGGUGUGAAUUGCAGAAUCCCGUGAACCAUCGAGUCUUUGAACGCAAGUUGCGCCCGAAGCCAAUAGGCCGAGGGCACGUCUGCCUGGGUGUCACA
rnacentral:rRNA from 2 species